UACGUAGGGUGCAAGCGUUGUCCGGAAUUAUUGGGCGUAAAGAGCUCGUAGGCGGUCUGUUGCGUCGGCUGUGAAAAUCCGGGGCUCAACCCCGGACUUGCAGUGGGUACGGGCAGACUAGAGUGUGGUAGGGGAGACUGGAAUUCCUGGUGUAGCGGUGAAAUGCGCAGAUAUCAGGAGGAACACCGAUGGCGAAGGCAGGUCUCUGGGCUACUACUGACGCUGAGAAGCGAAAGCAUGGGGAGCGAACAGG
rnacentral:rRNA from 1 species